rnacentral:rRNA from 1 species
GGGAAACCCUGGUNGAUGCCCGCAGCGGUUCUGACGUGCAAAUCGAUCGUCUGAUUUGGGUAUAGGGGCGAAAGACUAAUCGAACCGUCUAGUAGCUGGUUCCCUCCGAAGUUUCCCUCAGGAUAGCUGGAACCCUUGUGCGCAGUUUUAUCAGGUAAAGCGAAUGAUUAGAGGCCUUGGGGUUGAAACAACCUCAACCUAUUCUCAAACUUUAAAUGGGUAAGAUGUCGGACUUGCCCGAUUCGAAGUCCGACUUGGAAUGCGCGGGUACCAAGUGGGCCAUUUUUGGUAAGCAGAACUGGCGAUGCGGGAUGAACCGAAAGCCGGGUCAAGGUGCCCAAGUCGACGCUCAUCAGAACCCAGGAGAGGUGUCGGUCGAUCCAGACAGCAGGACGGUGGCCAUAAAAGUCGGAACCCGCCAAGGAGUGUGUAACAACUCACCUGCCGAAUCAACCGGCCCUGAAAAUGGAUGGCGCUGAAGCGUUGCACCGAACCCCGGCCGUCGCGGGCAAAUUGGAGGCCCCGACGUGUAGNAGGGCGCGACGGUGGCGCAGAAGUUGGGUGCGCGAGCCCCAGUCGAGCUGCCGUCGGUGCAGAUCUUGGUGGUAGUAGCAACUAUUCAAAUGAGAACUUUGAAGACUGAAGUGGAGAAGGGUUCCAUGUGAACAGCAGUUGGACAUGGGUGAGUCGGUCCUGAGGGAGGGGUCAACUCCCUUCCAGCGUGCGGGCUCUCGAUGAGACGGCUUGCACUGGCUCCCGAAAGGGAAUCGGGUCAACAUCCCCGAACCGGAAUGCAGUGUUGGCAGACGGCCCCCGUGGCUGCCUGCCUUGGCGGUGACGCUUGCAAGCUCGGAGACGUCGGUGCGAGUUCCGGGAAGAGUUCUCUUUUCUUCUCAACGGGUGUUUGACCCUGGAAUGAGAUUGCCUCGAGAUAGGGUCGGCUGCCCGGCCAAGCGUCGCACCUCUGGCGGCGUCCGGUGCACUCGCAAAGACCCGUGAAAAUCCGAGGGCGCA